rnacentral:rRNA from 1 species
CCUACGGGUGGCAGCAGUGAGGAAUAUUGGUCAAUGGGCUAAGGCCUGAACCAGCCAAGUCGCGUGAGGGAAGACGGUCCUAUGGAUUGUAAACCUCUUUUGUCGGGGAGCAACGAGGCCACGUGUGGCCGAAGUGAGCGUACCCGAAGGAAAAGCAUCGGCUAACUCCGUGCCAGCAGCCGCGGUAAUACGGAGGAUGCGAGCGUUAUCCGGACUUAAUGGGUUUAAAGGGUGCGUAGGCGGAACAUUAAGUCAGCGGGAAAAUCGCGGGGCGCAACCCCUUUAAGCCGUUGAAACUGGGGAUCUGGAGUGGGCGAGAAGGAUGCGGAAUGCGUGGUGUAGCGGUGAAAUGCAUAGAUAUCACGCAGAACUCCGAUUGCGAAGGCAGCAUACCGGCGCCCGACUGACGCUGAGGCACGAAAGCGUGGGGAGCGAACAGGAUUAGAUACCCUGGUAGUC